AUUGAUUUUAUGCUUGCAUAAAUGAUUUUUGGAUUCGGAGCGAGUGGCGAACUGGUGAGUAACACGUGGGUAACCUGCCCCGAAGCGGGGGAUAACAUUUGGAAACAAGUGCUAAUACCGCAUAAUUAGUUGGAACCGCAUGGUUCCAACUUGAAAGAUGGCUCUGCUAUCACUUUGGGAUGGACCCGCGCCGUAUUAGUUAGUUGGUGAGAUAAAAGCCCACCAAGACGAUGAUACGUAGCCGACCUGAGAGGGUAAUCGGCCACAUUGGGACUGAGACACGGCCCAGACUCCUACGGGAGGCAGCAGUAGGGAAUCUUCCACAAUGGACGAAAGUCUGAUGGAGCAACGCCGCGUGAGUGAUGAAGGUUUUCGGAUCGUAAAACUCUGUUGUUAAAGAAGAACAAGUGUUAGAGUAACUGUUAACACUUUGACGGUAUUUAACCAGAAAGCCACGGCUAACUACGUGCCAGCAGCCGCGGUAAUACGUAGGUGGCAAGCGUUGUCCGGAUUUAUUGGGCGUAAAGCGAGCGCAGGCGGUUCUGUAAGUCUGCUGUGAAAGCCCUCAGCUCAACUGAGGAAGUGCAGUGGAAACUACAAAACUUGAGUACAGAAGAGGAAAGUGGAACUCCAUGUGUAGCGGUGAAAUGCGUAGAUAUAUGGAAGAACACCAGUGGCGAAGGCGGCUUUCUGGUCUGUUACUGACGCUGAGGCUCGAAAGCAUGGGUAGCGAACAGGAUUAGAUACCCUGGUAGUCCAUGCCGUAAACGAUGAAUACUAGGUGUUGGAGGGUUUCCGCCCUUCAGUGCCGCAGCUAACGCAUUAAGUAUUCCGCCUGGGGAGUACGACCGCAAGGUUGAAACUCAAAGGAAUUGACGGGGGCCCGCACAAGUGGUGGAGCAUGUGGUUUAAUUCGAUGCUACGCGAAGAACCUUACCAGCUCUUGACAUCUUCUGCCAACCCAAGAGAUUGGGCGUUCCCUUCGGGGACAGAAUGACAGGUGGUGCAUGGUUGUCGUCAGCUCGUGUCGUGAGAUGUUGGGUUAAGUCCCGCAACGAGCGCAACCCUUAUUAUUAGUUGCCAGCAUUUAGUUGGGCACUCUAGUGAGACUGCCGGUGAUAAA
rnacentral:rRNA from 1 species